UACGUAGGGUGCAAGCGUUAAUCGGAAUUACUGGGCGUAAAGCGUGCGCAGGCGGCUAUGCAAGACAGAUGUGAAAUCCCCGGGCUCAACCUGGGGACUGCAUUUGUGACUGCAUGGCUAGAGUACGGUAGAGGGGGAUGGAAUUCCGCGUGUAGCAGUGAAAUGCGUAGAUAUGCGGAGGAACACCGACGGCGAAGGCAAUCCCCUGGACCUGUACUGACGCUCAUGCACGAAAGCGUGGGGAGCAAACAGG
rnacentral:rRNA from 1 species